rnacentral:rRNA from 1 species
AACGAACGCUGGCGGCGUGCCUAACACAUGCAAGUCGAGCGAGAAAGUCCGCAAGGAUGAGUACAGCGGCGCACGGGUGCGUAACACGUGGGUAAUCUGCCCUGGAGCCCGGAAUAACCUCCCGAAAGGGAAGCUAAUGCCGGAUAAGACCACGGGAGCUUCGGCUCCUGCGGGAAAAGGUGGCCUCUGUACACAAGCUAUCACUCCUGGAUGAGCCCGCGGCCCAUCAGCUAGUUGGCGGGGUAACGGCCCACCAAGGCUACGACGGGUAGCUGGUCUGAGAGGACGAUCAGCCACACUGGAACUGAGACACGGUCCAGACUCCUACGGGAGGCAGCAGUGGGGAAUCUUGCGCAAUGGGCGAAAGCCUGACGCAGCAACGCCGCGUGUGUGAUGAAGGUCUUCGGAUCGUAAAGCACUGUCGGGAGGAAAGAACAAGCCUGUGGCUAACAUCCACGGGCCUUGACGGUACCUCCAAAGGAAGCACCGGCUAACUCUGUGCCAGCAGCCGCCGUAACAC